ACAUGGCUGCUGACGCCGCCAGCCAGCUCUGCCAAGUCACAAAGCCGGUGGAGUACUGGCACAUCCAUGCCUGUAACUUCUCGCAAUACUCCGCGGUGGUGCAACUUUCAGGACGCAGACAAGAGGACAGACUGACACAGGGUGGAAAUGUUAUAUUUGAAGCCCAGUGGGGUGAGUGCUUGAUGCGGAGCCGCCCAAUCAGGAGCAGGUGCCGCCAUUGCCAUGGUGACAAUAGGGUUAAGAGGCGUGUCUUCAAAUCAAAUUCUGGUGUGAGGGUCUGAAGGGGCCAUGUGGCGUUGCCCUCUUUUGACUUAUUUUCACAAAGUAGCACAUUUACUUCAUGUCAACUUUCCUGAUGAUCGUUGAAUAAUCGCAAUGGGCAAAGUAUGGCCUGGGCACACAUACAGCCCACUUUGUUUUUUAAACCGGCCCAUUAAACCAGCAUUUACAUUGCCA